GUAGGCAGCGAGCGUUGUUCGGAAUUACUGGGCGUAAAGAGUGCGUAGGUGGUUGGCUAAGUUUGGUGUGAAAUCUCCCGGCUUAACUGGGAGGGUGCGCCGAAAACUGGCUGGCUAGAGUGUGGGAGAGGAACGUGGAAUUCCUGGUGUAGCGGUGAAAUGCGUAGAUAUCAGGAGGAACACCUGAGGUGUAGACGGCGUUCUGGACCAUUACUGACACUGAGGCACGAAAGCGUGGGUAGCAAACAGGAUUAGAUACCCUGGUAGUCCACGCCCUAAACGAUGCAAACUUGGUGUGCGCCCUUCAUUGGGUGCGUGCCGAAGCUAACGCGUUAAGUUUGCCGCCUGGGGAGUACGGUCGCAAGGCUGAA
rnacentral:rRNA from 1 species